CCCACAACAGGUAUUUAUGUUAACAUCCAUAUAAACAGUAAAAUGUAAAACUUGAAAUUGAAAUAAUAAAUAAUAAUAAAUGGCUAGGUUGCAGGACAACGCUAUAACAAUACAGUGAGUGCAUUAUUACCACCAUAUUUUUCCAAUUACAAUUUCAUAGAUUCAUAAUUGGGCUUAAACUAUGUAAGGAUUUGAAGAACCAGCUUGAGAGAAUAAUAAAAGAAAUACAAAACAUAUUAAUGGUGUCUUUAUUUGGCUAAUAGGCCAGGGAAACAGUGAUUUGACAACAAUCAUGAAGUGGUAUAAAACAUGUGAUAGAUUUGUUAUGGAUUGCAGCUGUGAUUACCAUAAGAAUCUUUCAGAAUCUUAUGUAUUCGUAUUUCAUGUAAGUGCACUUGGUGAAUAGGAUUGUGAAAUUAUUUGUGUCCUAUGCAUCUCCACCAUGGGUCUUUGGGCCAAAUUGAGAAAUUCUAUUUAAACCUAUUCCUGGACAUUAAAUAGUUAUCCGUAAAUUAUCCCUUUUAUUCCAGUAAUAGGUUUAACCUGGAUCCAGGAACCUGUCCCAUAUUGCAGUGAUUGUUAUGAAAUUAACCUUUCAGAAAAUGUGUAACUGAACACUCCCCUCUCAGGUGCUUCAGACAGCAGUGAGUUAAGUCAGGAAAGAUUAAAUUAAUUCUUCCAGUUCUGGUUCUUAUUAUGCUGCUCACCUUAUCAGGAACUCAACUAAGCACCAUACCAGAAUCCUUACACGCAGGAAGGAACACACUAGCUGGGCUUGCACCUCAAGUAAGCUUAUUAGUUGUCAAGCCAACCAUAUUCUAUUGUGCUGGGCAAUUGCUCUGUGGGAUCAGUCAGGGUGUUUUGUAAAAGCACUUUGUGACAACUCUACAUGUGAAAAGGGCUUUAUAAAUACAUUUGAUUGAUUUGAAUUUGAUUGACCCCGGGGCUGGUCAAUAAGCAGGAUUCAAACCCUAGCAAUGAUGUAGCAAAAUGAGACUGUAACUUGAUAGUUGCACAUUGACCCAAACUAAUGUUCAAAGAUCCAUAGCUCAUUUUAAAACAAUAUUACAUGUUAUCACUGAGACAAAAAUACAAGUUUGUUUAUUGAGAAUUCAGUGUGUAUAAAAACUAUUAAACAAAAAAUAAUACAAAUGUUGUUUUUUAAUACUUAUCUUAAAGACUCAAUCAAGGAACCACUUGUAUUAAAAGUUUUAAAAAAGAGCAAUAAAUAAACACAAUUAUGAAUAAAUAAAUAUUAUAAAUUCUGCCCAUUCAGUGUUACACACAGCAGCACUGAAAUGCUGGUGUGUAUAACACAACACAACACAACAAUUUAGCCAUACAGAUCAGGUUGUUGUGUUUUAUCAUCAAAACAUGAUUUCUUGUCACUUGGGGAUAAUUGAAUGUAUACAAGACUGAAUAAUUCUAAUAAUAGAUGGCAUGUUUUUUAUAUUACUGAAGUAGAUGUAUUCACAGCAUGUUCUCUCCCUCUUCUUCCCGCUCUUUUCUGCAACAGCAACAGCAGUAGUGGCAAAGCCAUCGUAACACUCUGCUGAAUCUAGGUGGAGCCACUUCGGCUCCUACUACGCUAAUCUGAGCAUCUUCUUUUACUCUGUGCUCCGCUGAUGGACCCUGGAGCUCCAUUAAUGAACUGGAAUAUGUCAUGUCCACUGUUGUCUCCUCUGUUACUUGACUUAUUUUUGUUAUCAUACUGUCCUCCUCUAUUAUUGAUUCCUCCAUCAACCAUAGUCGCUCCUCUGUGGUUAAUCUGACUUCGGUUUGGUUACCUUUGUCACUUGUUUUGACUGUUUCUGUCUUUUUUUCCAUAUCAACCUGCAGUCUCUCAAUCUCUGUGAGCAUCUCCACUUUUAGUAUUUGAAGCUCCAGUUUUUUCGGCUGAUCUUCACUCAUACCUCUCUCCCACUCUUUUAGAAGAGCUUGGCUACCUCUAUGCAACUCCACCUUCACCUCCUCAAACUUUUCUUUCUCUCUUGGUAUCCUUGUUUUCUUUACCAACUCAUGGUUCUGAAUCACUACAAGUCUUUCCUGCAGAUGUUCUUUCAUUUCAUAAACUCUGUGCUUCAUCUUCUCAAUCUCUUCCCUUUCUGUCUGUACCUCUUGAUGGAUCUUUUCCAAAUACUCUCUGUUCGGGAUCCCAGUAUGUGUAGCUGUGGUUGUCUGUUUAAGCAAGUUCUCACAUUCUACACUUAGUUGAGUGGUGUCUAUGACUUGACUCUGCACAGUUUUCAGUUCUAGCUCCACUGCCCUCUUCAUUUGCAGAUCCGUCAUUUGGCCUAUGUGUCUGAGCUCCUCUUUGGCAAUCUGUAUCUCACCUCUGAUCUGUUGCAGUGCAUUCUUGCCUCUUUGUAUUUCCACCAUGUUAUUUUCAAUCUCUUUUUUCUGUUUGUCUACAACAGUCAAAAGGGAGUGUUCUUCUUCAUUAGAAAUCUUUUGUUUCAACUGUCGAGAUUCCUCAAUUUCAAGUUCUCCCUGCAUCUCCCCAGAAAAUGUUUGUGUUUCAGAAUUCACCAGCUCCACAGUUUUGUCUGUUUUUUUCAUCUCUUCUGAAUGCAUUUGUGUCGUAGCAUUUACAUAGCUCCUUUUGUCUUCAAGUUUGGACUCUUGCGUUACCAGGUUGACCUCCUCCUGCAUGUCCCCAGUUUCUUGUUUUAUCUCUGCCAUUGGCCUUAUAUCUUUAUUGUCAUCCAUCUGUGUGCUGCAUAAUACAUAAAUUGUCUCUUGCUCUAGUAUUAUUUCAGCAUUAAUACAUUGUUCUUCCUCUUUCCGUACAGCCAUCCACUUUUCCGCUUCAUCUUUUCCAGUUUCUAUCUCAGCUCUUCUCCUUUCCAGCUCAUCCAUAUCACCUGCCAUUUUUGUCUUGGCCAUGUCAAUUUCUCGCCUCUCUCUUUCCAUGUCAUCCUUUAAUUGUUCCAGUUCACACUUCUCUUUUGCUAGCAAGUCUUUUUUGUUAUCUGUUUCUUGGCGUUCUUUCUCCAGCUCAGUUUUCAUGAAUUCCAGUUUCUCUGUCUGUCUGUUGUAAUCUUUUCUCAGCCUUUCAUGUUCCUCCUUUUCCAUCUGUAUUUGUAUUGCUUGUUUCUCAACCUCCUCUUUCUUCCACUUGGUUUCCUCUGUAAGUUUUUGUAGAUUUUCUGAUUGGGAUUGAAUUGCCACCUUGUUCUUUUCCAGGUCAUUCUUUUCAUUUUGUAGCCUCAGUUUUUCUUGAUCAAAUUCCUCCCUUUCGUUUUCUAGCUCUUUCUUUUUUGUAUUGAGCUCAUCUGUUUUUCUUUCAAUGUCUUGUCUCUGUAGUUGUAUUUCUGUGUUGAUUUGUUCCAGUUGUUCUUUCAGCUUGCUGAUUUCCUCCUUCAUUCUUUGUUCUUCCUCGGUCAGUUCUGCCAUCCUCUUUUCCGCUUCAUCUUUUCCAGUUUCUAUUUCAGCUCUUCUCCUUUCCAGCUCAUCCAUAUCACCUGCCAUUUUUGUCUUGGCGUUGUCAAUUUCUCGCCUCUCUCUUUCCAUUUCAACCUUUAAUUGUUCCAGUUCACACUUCUCUUUUGCUAGCAUACCUCUUAUGUUUUCUGUUUCUUGGCGUUCUUUCUCCAGCUCAGUUUUCAUGAAUUCCAGUUUCUCUGUCUGUCUGUUGUAAUCUUUUAUCAGCCUUUCAUGUUCCUCCUUUUCCAUCUGUAUUUGGAUUGCUUGUUUCUCAACCUCCUCUUUCUUCCACUUGGUUUCCUCUGAAAGUUUUUCUAGAUUUUCUGAUUGGGAUUGAAUUGCCACCUUGUUCUUUUCCAGUUUCUCUGUCUGUCUGUUGUAAUCUUUUAUCAGCCUUUCAUGUUCCUCCUUUUCCAUCUGUAUUUGUAUUGCUUGUUUCUCAACCUCCUCUUUCUUCCACUUGGUUUCCUCUGUAAGUUUUUCUAGAUUUUCUGAUUGGGAUUGAAUUGCCACCUUGUUCUUUUCCAGGUCAUUCUUUUCAUUUUGUAGCCUCAGUUUUUCUUGAUCAAAUUCCUCCCUUUCGUUUUCUAGCUCUUUCUUUUUUGUAUUGAGCUCAUCUGUUUUUCUUUCAAUGUCUUGUCUCUGUAGUUGUAUUACUGUGUUGAUUUGUUCCAGUUGUUCUUUCUGCUUGCUGAUUUCCUCCUUCAUACUUUGUUCUUCCUCGGUCAGUUCUGCCAUCCACUUUUUCGCUUCAUCUUUUCCAGUUUCUAUUUCAGCUCUUCUCCUUUCCAGCUCAUCCAUAUCCCCUGACAUUUUUGUCUUGGCGUUGUCAAUAUCUCGCCUCUCUCUUUCCAUUUCAUCCUUUAAUUGUUCCAGUUCACACUUCUCUUUUGCUAGCAAACCUCUUUUGUUUUCUGUUUCUUGGCGUUCUUUCUCCAGCUCAGUUUUCAUGAAUUCCAGUUUCUCUGUCUGUCUGUUGUAAUCUUUUAUCAGCCUUUCAUGUUCCUCCUUUUCCAUCUGUAUUUGGAUUGCUUGUUUCUCAACCUCCUCUUUCUUCCACUUGGUUUCCUCUGUAAGUUUUUCUAGAUUUUCUGAUUGGGAUUGAAUUGCCACCUUGUUCUUUUCCAGGUCAUUCUUUUCAUUUUGUAGCCUCAGUUUUUCUUGAUCAAAUUCCUCCCUUUCGUUUUCUAGCUCUUUCUUUUUUAUAUUGAGCUCUUCUAUUUUACUUUCAAUGUCUUGUCUCUGUUGUUGUAUUACUGUGUUGAUUUGUUCUAGUUGUUCUUUCUGCUUGCUGAUUUCCUCCUUCAUACUUUGUUCUUCCUCGGUCAGUUCUGUCAUCCACUUUUUCGCUUCAUCUUUUCCAGUUUCUAUCUCAGCCCUUCUCCUUUCCAGCUCAUCCAUAUCACCUGCCAUUUUUGUCUUGGCCAUGUCAAUAUCUCGCCUCUCUCUUUCCAUGUCAUCCUUUAAUUGUUCCAGUUCACACUUCUCUUUUGCUAGCAAACCUCUUAUGUUAUCUGUUUCUUGGCGUUCUUUCUCCAGCUCAGUUUUCAUGAAUUCCAGUUUCUCUGUCUGUCUGUUGUAAUCUUUUAUCAGCCUUUCAUGUUCCUCCUUUUCCAUCUGUAUUUGGAUUGCUUGUUUCUCAACUUUUUCUUUCUCCUUCUGUCUUUCCUGAAUACAUUUUUCUAGGUUUUUACUUUGGGUUAAUAUCACCACCUUUUCCUUUUCCAGUUCAUUCUGUUCUUUUAUAAUGAUCUCCUUUUGUUGAUCAAUUUUUUCUUUUAGGGUUUGCAUUUCUUUUUUUUGAUUGUUUGUCUCUCUUAUACAUUUUUCCAACUCAUUCUUUUUGACAUUUACUUCCUUCAUCUGGCUCUUAAGGUCUUCUCUCUCCCGUUGUAUUUCAGUUUUCAAGUGUUCUAGGUUGUCUUUCAUCUUGUAGUCAUCUUCUUUCAAACAUUGCUCUUCUUCUUUCAACUCUGGCUUCCACUUGUCUGUUUCAUGUUCGCCUCUUUCUGUUUGAGCCUUUUUUUCUUCUAACUGCUUUAUUUCAAUCACUAUGUUUUCUUUGGCUAUGUCAAUUUCUUCUCUCUCCUUUUUCAUAUCAGCCGUCAUUUGUUUAAUUAUCAGUUUUUCUCUUAUUUGGUCUUCCAUAAGGUUUUGUAUUGCCAUUCUCUCACUCUGAAUCUCAGACUUAAUUUGCAUAAGCUUAUUUUUCUCCUCAGCUAUCAAUCUUUUUUCAUUCUCCAUCUCUUCUUUCUCUCUUCUAAUCUCACUAUUUAGCAACUUUAAAUGUUUAAUUUUUGUGUUACUCUGUACAAUGACCUUUUCACUUUCCUCCCUUUGCUUUUUAAUUUUUGCUGUCAUUUCUUUUUCUAAUAAAGCCUUUUCAUUCAAUGUUAUUGUUUUUAUUUCAUCCAAUUGUGUUUUCUGCUUAUCCAUUUCAUUUUUUUCUUUUUCUAAUUCUAACAUUUCAGUAUGUAUUUUUUCCAUUUGUGUGUCAAUUUCUUCUUUUUGACUUUUAAGCUUUUCAGUAAUUUUUUCAUUAUAUUGCGUUUCCAUGUUUGUCUUGUUCGUAAUAGCGUUCAACUCCUUUUGACGAUUCUGUAAUUCCACUUCAAACUGUAAAAGCUUAUCCUUUUCUUUUUUUAAGUUUUGUUUGUCUUGCAUUAUUUGCUCCCUUUCUCUUGUGAUUUCCGACAUUUGUUCUAACUCAAAAUCUUUUUGUGUUUCUGUUAUAGUUUUUUCUGUAUAUGUUGUCCUUUCAAGACCUCUUUUCAGAAUUUCCAGUUCUACUCUUUCCUUUUUCGGCUUCCCCCUCAAAUGAUCAUAAUCUUCAUCUCUUUGUGUUUUCUUCUCUUGGAUUCCAGGCCUACUCUUUGACAGAUCCCAUUUUGUUAGAUCAAUUAUGGAAUACAUUUUUCUACUUUCUUGAUCAGUGCUCAUUUGUUCCAGGUGUUCCUGCUCUUCCUUUUGGCUUUCCUUGUGAGAUUCCAUCUCCUCUCUCUGUUGCUGUAUUUUACUCUUGAUGUGUUCCAGUUCCUCUCUUCCCUUUUUUAGUUCAUCAUGACUCUUGUCAAUGUCUCUUUUUUGUCUUUCAAUUUUCUCGUUCAAGAGUUCAAGCUCUUUUUGAUUUUGUUUAGUCUCUUCCAUAACAUACUCAGAUUCUUCUUGUUCUUGUUUUUGAAUUUUGACAUCUGUUUCUUCGUCUUUCUGUAUGUGAAUCUGUGCUUUUAAAUAUUCCAUCAUGACCUAAGCAAAAAUAAAUUUGAGAUUAUGUUCUAACCUUUCAG
ensembl:lncRNA